rnacentral:lncRNA from 1 species
CAGCCAUCGGCUUGGGUCCCCCUGACCAGCAUGAGCCUGUGAGGCAGCAGUCCAUGCGUGGGCUGGCUGGCGGCUUCUCUGUCUUCCAGUCAUCCACGAGAGGCUCUCUGUGCUCAUGCUAAGCAGGAGCAACUCAGUAGGAGGACUGGCAACUCACUAAGAGGACCGACAGACCACCAGCCAGGACUCCAGCUGACCUUUGGAAGGAUGGGUCACGGUUUCCAGAAGGCCAUCUUUCUCUUCUGAUUUCAACACAAAUGAAAACCUCUCAAGAGCCUUACAAAAGUCUACGGAAAACCGAUCUCUUCACUGGCCUCCUGGCUUCCAGUCUCCUCCCCUCUUCCUGGCCUGGGUAUCACUACCGAACUCAUUCUCCCGAGACGCCCCUUCAUGACAGCACUGCUGAAGGAGCUGUUUCUCUUGGGUAAGUGGACAACCACAGCCUGACUUUAAGGUGCUCCACAUUAUCGUUCCAACUCCUCCACUUCAGGCAGGCCCCCGACACACACGAUCAUUCCACCUUCUUCAUUCUCUGAAACUCUUCCUUCUCCCUCUCCAAGAUCCAGGCUCAGAACCUCUGGAGACACGACCAGAGCCAUAGUCUUCCAUCAUGUAUUUAGAAUUUAGUCACAGAGUCCAACAGGGCUUCAGAUUAUAAAUACUUUUUUCAUUAUGCAGAUAUAAUUCACAUACCGUAAAACUCACCCUGUUAAAGUGCAUGAUUCAGUGGUUUCAGCACAUUCACAAAGCUGUGCCAUCAUCACCACUAACUCCAGAACACUUUCAGCAGUCCAAAAAGCAGGCCUGGACCAUUAGCAGCCACUCUCCAUUCU